rnacentral:rRNA from 1 species
GUUCAGGAUGAACGCUGGCGGCGUGCCUAACACAUGCAAGUCGAACGAAGCACUGCAAACGGAGAUUCGUCAAAGUUUGCUUUGACUUAGUGGCGGACGGGUGAGUAAUGUAUGAGCAACCUGCCUUUCAGUGGAGGACAACAGUUGGAAACGACUGCUAAUACCGCAUGAUGUCAAUUGGGGGCAUCCCCGAAUGACCAAAGGAUUUAUUCGCUGAAAGAUGGGCUCAUAUCUGAUUAGCUAGUUGGUGAGGUAACGGCUCACCAAGGCUGCGAUCAGUAGCCGGACUGAGAGGUUGAACGGCCACAUUGGGACUGAGAUACGGCCCAGACUCCUACGGGAGGCAGCAGUGGGGAAUAUUGGGCAAUGGGCGAAAGCCUGACCCAGCAACGCCGCGUGAAGGAAGAAGGUCUUCGGAUUGUAAACUUCUUUUAUGAGGGACGAAGGACGUGACGGUACCUCAUGAAUAAGCCACGGCUAACUACGUGCCAGCAGCCGCGGUAAUACGUAGGUGGCAAGCGUUAUCCGGAUUUACUGGGUGUAAAGGGCGCGUAGGCGGGGAUGCAAGUCAGAUGUGAAAUCUAUGGGCUUAACCCAUAAACUGCAUUUGAAACUGUAUCUCUUGAGUGCUGGAGAGGUAGACGGAAUUCCUUGUGUAGCGGUGAAAUGCGUAGAUAUAAGGAAGAACACCAGUGGCGAAGGCGGUCUACUGGACAGUAACUGACGCUGAGGCGCGAGAGCGUGGGGAGCAAACAGGAUUAGAUACCCUGGUAGUCCACGCUGUAAACGAUGAAUACUAGGUGUGGGGGGACUGACCCCUUCCGUGCCGCAGUUAACACAAUAAGUAUUCCACCUGGGGAGUACGGCCGCAAGGUUGCAACUCAAA